GAAAACACUAAUAGAAUGAAACGAGAUAUUGUUGAAUUUGUAUCACAAUGUCUGACAUUCUAGCAAGUGAAGGCAGAAUUUCAAAAGACCUAGGGGUUUGCUGCAACCCUUACCAGUACCGGAAUGGAAAUGAUAACACAUCUCUAUGGAUUUUGGGAUAGACUUACCAAAGACCCAAUCAAAUCAUGAUAACAUUUGGGUGAUUAUGGAUCGACUAACAAAGUCCUCUCACUUUCUUGCCAUGAGGAUUACUGAUUUAGUAGAUAAACUGGUCAGAUUUCAUGGAAUCUCCGUCUUAAUUGUCUCCAAAAGAGACCCCAGAUUUAUUUCUAAAUUUUGAUAAAGUCUCCAACAGGCCACGAGCACAAAAUUAAACUUCAGUACAACUUUUCAGCCCCAGAUAGAUAGGCAAACCAAAAGAACCAUUCAGUUAUUAGAGGACAUGCUACGAAUGUACAUCAUAGAUAUCAGUGGGAAUUGGGAUGAGCUGCUACCCCUGAUGGAGCUUGCAUACAACAAUAGUCACCAUGCUAGUACUAGAAUGACUCCUUUUGAAGCCUUCUAUGGUAGGCCUUGCAAGUUACAGAUAUGUUGGGACAAAGUCGAGAAAAAGAAGAUGAUUGGACCAGAACUUGUUGACGAAACCACCGUGAUGAUAUUCGUGAUCAGGAAAAAGCUUCAGACGGCACAAUGCAGAUGAAAAGGUUAUACAGACAACAAGAGAAGAGAUCUCGCCUUUGAGACAAGUGACCAUGUGUACCUAAAGGUAUCACCAAUGAAUGGUCUCUUGAGAUUCGAAGAGGAAGGAAAACUGAGUCCCCGAUUCAUAGGGCCCUUUGAAAUACUAGAGAGAGUGGGCACGACUUCUUACACAGUAACACUUCCAUCAGGAUACUCUAGAAUUCACAAUGUGUUUUACAUAUCAAUGCUAUGCAAGUGCCACUCCGACCCAUCACCUAUCAUACAAAAUGAGUCAUUUUCCUAGAAAAAAAACUUGGUGUACAAGGAGAAGCAUGUUUGCAUACUUGAGCGAUAGGAAAAGGCAUUAAGGAACUGAAAGAUAUUGAUGGUAAAAGUUAUAUGGCAACACCAUUCUAAAAAAGAGUCGACAUAGGAAGGGGAAGACCUAAUGAGAGCAAAUCACCCUCAACUAUUCGAAGAUAUGUAACUAAAUUUUGGAGACCAAUUUUCUUUUAAAAGAAGAUGUUGUAACAUUUCGAGAUCUUAAAAUAUUUUAAAGGAAAUGUAGAUGUAUGUAUGGAUAAAUAAAUAAAGCAAUAUAACUCAGUGUUAAACUAAAACCCAAAUAUGAAUUAUAAAUGCAAGUAAUGAAAAUUAAACAGGAAGAAUUUACUGAGAAUAAUGAGAGUGUUCGGUAAAGAUUUCAAAAGAAGGAACUUAAAUGAGAGGAAAUAAUCAGAACUGGGGCAGAAUUGGAAAUUCCCAAAGAGCAAACAUGUCAGCAAGUCAAUGAGUUGGGGAGUCAAUCAGAUUCUGCCACACAUGCAGGCAAUGUCAGAACAUGUCGUUAGAGCAAAGAAUGGCUCAGAUGAGCCUGGUGGUACUGACUAUGCACCUUGAACGGUGCAGAUUAAAAUAUCCCACAAUAGACGACUGGGAUGGCACAAAACUUUUCAAUGACUGCGAUUUAUCUGAAUCUAGCAUAAAAGAGGACGUGAGCUGCAUUGAGAAAGGUAGACAGUGAGUGAGAGCAGGGAAGUUGGCCGAAGAAGGAACGGGUAGUGAUUCGCGAAGGACUAAAAGGACAAAGAGACGAGGAGGGUCCGAAGGAGGACUGCUACUACAGGCAAACAUCCUACUAUUGGAAGCAAGAGAUCCAGUGAAGCAGGAACAGAAACAAGAUUUACAGGGAACAUAUCCUAAGACACAGAGAUCAUGGAAAAAGUUGGAUGCAGUAGUACAUGAUUUAAUAUAUUCACACAAACACACACAAUCGAGCUAGUAUACAUGCUGUAUGAAUAUUUUCUUUUCCUUACGGCUAAUACAAAACAUGAUGGUUGAACUUUACAAGUGAAUUAGGUACCAUAUGGGGAUACAUACAUUAGAUGUGCGGCUGAACAUAGCUUGGAAUGACAAUUACUUCCUGAUUUA